UACGGGGGGGGCAAGCGUUGUUCGGAAUUACUGGGCGUAAAGGGCUCGUAGGCGGCCAACUAAGUCAGACGUGAAAUCCCUCGGCUUAACCGGGGAACUGCGUCUGAUACUGGAUGGCUUGAGUUCGGGAGAGGGAUGUGGAAUUCCAGGUGUAGCGGUGAAAUGCGUAGAUAUCUGGAGGAACACCGGUGGCGAAGGCGGCAUCCUGGACCGGCAUUGACGCUGAGGCGCGAAAGCUAGGGGAGCAAACAGG
rnacentral:rRNA from 1 species